ensembl:misc_RNA
AAAAGGAGAUAGAAGAGUGAAGCUUUUGCUCACUAUCCUUUCCCUUUUUGUUCUCCACACAUCUUAGCUGUGAACCUUUACAUGUGCAGUAUUUAUUUUGUAUUAAACUGGUAAUUAUAAAGUUACCUAAGAGGCUAGAGAGGCAACCAAGAAAAGGAAUGCAGUCUGACUGCAGUGACAUGAGUUUAUUGCAUACCAAAUAUCGUCUCAGAAUGUUUCUCCCACUUAGAAACAUCCUAGCACUUAAGGCCUUUUAAUCUAAACAAAUCACCAACUCUUUUGCUUUCAAUUUAAUCUCUCUACUCUCUUACUUGUUCCCA